rnacentral:rRNA from 1 species
GAUUGAAAGCUGGCGCCUUCGGCGUCCGCAUUGUAAUCUCAAGAAGUGUUUUCCGCUUCGGACCAUGCCUAAGUCCCUUGGAAAAGGGCAUCAUAGAGGGUGAUAAUCCCGUACAUGGCAUGGAGCGCCCGAAGCUUUGUGAUACACUUUCGAAGAGUCGAGUUGUUUGGGAAUGCAGCUCAAAAUGGGUGGUAAAUUCCAUCUAAAGCUAAAUAUUGGCGAGAGACCGAUAGCGAACAAGUACCGUGAGGGAAAGAUGAAAAGCACCUUGGAAAGGGAGUUAAACAGUACGUGAAAUUGUUGGAAGGGAAACGCUUGAAGUCAGACUUGCUAUCUGGAGUUCAGCCGCAAGGUGUACUCUUCAGUUCGCAGGCCAGCAUCAGUUUUUCGGGGCAAAAAAGGGCCAGAGGAACGUAGCAACCCUCGGGUUGUGUUAUAGGCUUUGGCUGGAUUUGUCCUGGGGGACUGAGGAACGCAGCGUGCUUUUAGCGAGGCUCUCGAGCCUUUCACGCUUAGGAUGCUGGUGGAAUGGCUUUAAACGACCCGUCUU